rnacentral:rRNA from 1 species
UACGAAGGGGGCUAGCGUUGUUCGGAAUCACUGGGCGUAAAGGGUGCGUAGGCGGGUCUUUAAGUCAGGGGUGAAAUCCUGGAGCUCAACUCCAGAACUGCCUUUGAUACUGAGGAUCUUGAGUUCGGGAGAGGUGAGUGGAACUGCGAGUGUAGAGGUGAAAUUCGUAGAUAUUCGCAAGAACACCAGUGGCGAAGGCGGCUCACUGGCCCGAUACUGACGCUGAGGCACGAAAGCGUGGGGAGCAA